AACGAACGCUGGCGGCAUGCCUAACACAUGCAAGUCGAACGAGACCUUCGGGUCUAGUGGCGCACGGGUGCGUAACGCGUGGGAACCUGCCCUUAGGUUCGGAAUAACUCCCCGAAAGGGGUGCUAAUACCGGAUAAUGUCUUCGGACCAAAGAUUUAUCGCCUUUGGAUGGGCCCGCGUUGGAUUAGCUAGUUGGUAGGGUAAAAGCCUACCAAGGCGACGAUCCAUAGCUGGUCUGAGAGGAUGAUCAGCCACACUGGGACUGAGACACGGCCCAGACUCGUACGGGAGGGAGCAGUGGGGAAUAUUGGACAAUGGGCGCAAGCCUGAUACAGCAAUGCCGCGGGAGUGAUGAAGGGCUUAGGGUUGUAAAGCUGUUUUACCCGGGAUGAUAAUGACAGUACCGGGAGAAUAAGCUCCGGCUAACUCCGUG
rnacentral:rRNA from 1 species